AACGAACGUUAGCGGCGCGCUUAACACAUGCAAGUCGAGCGAGAAAGGGGCAACCCCGGUAAAGCGGCGCACGGGUGAGUAACACGUAGGUAAUCUACCCUCGGGUGGAGGAUAACUUUCCGAAAGGAAGGCUAAUACUGCAUGAGACCACGACCUCGAAAGGGGAUGGGGUCAAAGCCGGCCCUCUGUACACAAGCUGGCGCCUGAGGAUGAGCCUGCGGCCCCAUCAGCUAGUUGGUAGGGUAAUGGCCUACCAAGGCGAAGACGGGUAGCUGGUCUGAGAGGAUGAUCAGCCACACUGGAACUGAGACACGGUCCAGACUCCUACGGGAGGCAGCAGUAGGGAAUCUUGCGCAAUGGGCGAAAGCCUGACGCAGCGACGCCGCGUGAGUGAUGAAGGCCUGGUGUAAGCUCUGUGGAGAGGGACGAAGUAAGUGUUGGACGUAACAUCCACGCAUGAUGACGGUACCU
rnacentral:rRNA from 1 species